AAUGAACGUUGGCGGCGUGGAUUAGGCAUGCAAGUCGUGCGAGAGGGAGUUUGCUUGCAUUAGACGGAAAGCGGCGAAAGGGAGAGUAACGCGUGGGUACCUACCUCUAGGUUCGGGAUAGCUGCGGGAAACUGUGGGUAAUACCGAAUAACAUCUCCGGAUCAAAGGUGUGAUUCCGCCUGGAGACGGGCCCGCGUCCUAUUAGCUUGUUGGUGGGGUAAUGGCUUACCAAGGCAAUGAUGGGUAUCGGGCGUGAGAGCGUGACCCGACUCACUGGAACUGAGACACUGCCCAGACACCUACGGGUGGCUGCAGUCGAGAAUCUUCGGCAAUGGGCGCAAGCCUGACCGAGCGACGCCGCGUGCGGGAUGAAGGCCCUCGGGUUGUAAACCGCUGUCAGUUGGGAGGAAAUCACAUGGGGUUCUCUCCAUGUGUUGACCUAUCUUCAGAGGAAGGACGGGCUAAGUUUGUGCCAGCAGCCGCCGUAAAAC
rnacentral:rRNA from 1 species